rnacentral:rRNA from 1 species
AGAGUUUGAUCCUGGCUCAGGAUGAACGCUAGCGACAGGCUUAACACAUGCAAGUCGAGGGGCAGCGGGGGAGUAGCAAUACUCCCGCCGGCGACCGGCGCACGGGUGAGUAACACGUAUGAAACCUGCCCGUAGCAGGGGGAUAAGCGGAAGAAAUUCCGUCUAAUACCGCGUAACAACCCUUGGAGGCAUCUCCUCGGGUUUAAAGGGAGCGAUUCCGGCUACGGAUGGUCAUGCGUCGCAUUAGCUUGUUGGCGGGGUAACGGCCCACCAAGGCGACGAUGCGUAGGGGUUCUGAGAGGAAGGUCCCCCACACUGGUACUGAGACACGGACCAGACUCCUACGGGAGGCAGCAGUGAGGAAUAUUGGUCAAUGGCCGCAGGGCUGAACCAGCCAAGUCGCGUGAGGGAUGACGGUCCUAUGGAUUGUAAACCUCUUUUGUCAGGGAGCAAAGGGCGUCACGUGUGGCGUUUUGCGAGUACCUGAAGAAAAAGCAUCGGCUAACUCCGUGCCAGCAGCCGCGGUAAUACGGAGGAUGCGAGCGUUAUCCGGAUUUAUUGGGUUUAAAGGGUGCGCAGGCGGAAUGUCAAGUCAGCGGUAAAAUUUCGGGGCUCAACCCCGUCGUGCCGUUGAAACUGGCGUUCUUGAGUGAGCGAGAAGUAUGCGGAAUGCGUGGUGUAGCGGUGAAAUGCAUAGAUAUCACGCAGAACUCCGAUUGCGAAGGCAGCAUACCGGCGCUCAACUGACGCUCAUGCACGAAAGCGUGGGUAUCGAACAGGAUUAGAUACCCUGGUAGUCCACGCAGUAAACGAUGAAUACUAACUGUCCGGGCAGAAUGAUGUCUGGGUGGUACAGCGAAAGCGUUAAGUAUUCCACCUGGGGAGUACGCCGGCAACGGUGAAACUCAAAGGAAUUGACGGGGGCCCGCACAAGCGGAGGAACAUGUGGUUUAAUUCGAUGAUACGCGAGGAACCUUACCCGGGCUCAAACGACGGAUGGAUGUUUCUGAAAGGAGGCAGUCCUACGGGACAUCCGUCGAGGUGCUGCAUGGUUGUCGUCAGCUCGUGCCGUGAGGUGUCGGCUUAAGUGCCAUAACGAGCGCAACCCCCAUCGCCAGUUACCAGCAAGUAAAGUUGGGGACUCUGGCGAGACUGCCGGCGCAAGCUGUGAGGAAGGCGGGGAUGACGUCAAAUCAGCACGGCCCUUACGUCCGGGGCGACACACGUGUUACAAUGGCAGGUACAGAGAGAUGCGAUGUGGCGACGCAGAGCGGAACUUCAAAGCCUGUCUCAGUUCGGAUUGGAGUCUGCAACCCGACUCCAUGAAGCUGGAUUCGCUAGUAAUCGCGCAUCAGCCACGGCGCGGUGAAUACGUUCCCGGGCCUUGCACACACCGCCCGUCAAG